CGGGGUGCACCAGGCGCGAAAACUUUACAAUGCCGGCAACGGCGAUAAGGGAACCUCGAGUGCCAGGUUACAAAUCUGGCUGUCGUGAUGCCUAAAAAGCAUUGCAUAGCAAGGGCCGGGCAAGACCGGUGCCAGCCGCCGCGGUAACACCGGCGGCUCGAGUGGUAACCGUUAUUAUUGGGUCUAAAGGGUCUGUAGCCGGCCGGGUAAGUCUCUUGGGAAAUCUGGCAGCUUAACUGUCAGGCUUUCAGGAGAUACUGCCUGGCUCGAGGCCGGGAGAGGUGAGAGGUACUUCAGGGGUAGGGGUGAAAUCUUGUAAUCCUUGAAGGACCACCAGUGGCGAAGGCGUCUCACCAGAACGGACCUGACGGCAAGGGACGAAAGCUAGGGGCACGAACCGGAUUAGAUACCCGGGUAGUCCUAGCCGUAAACGAUACUCGCUAGGUGUCGGCCACGGUGCGACCGUGGUCGGUGCCGUAGGGAAGCCGUGAAGCGAGCCACCUGGGAAGUACGGCCGCAAGGCUGAAACUUAAAGGAAUUGGCGGGGGAGCAC
rnacentral:rRNA from 1 species